GAAUAUUGCGCAAUGGGCGGAAGCCUGACGCAGCGACGCCGCGUGGGGGAUGACGGCCUUCGGGUUGUAAACCUCUUUCGGCAGGGACGAAGUUGACGUGUACCUGUGGAAGAAGCGCCGGCUAACUACGUGCCAGCAGCCGCGGUAAUACGUAGGGCGCGAGCGUUGUCCGGAAUUAUUGGGCGUAAAGAGCUCGUAGGUGGCUUGUCGCGUCUGCCGUGAAAGCCCGUGGCUUAACUGCGGGUCUGCGGUGGAUACGGGCAGGCUAGAGGCUGGUAGGGGCAAGUGGAAUUCCUGGUGUAGCGGUGAAAUGCGCAGAUAUCAGGAGGAACACCGGUGGCGAAGGCGGCUUGCUGGGCCAGUUCUGACGCUGAGGAGCGAAAGCGUGGGGAGCGAAC
rnacentral:rRNA from 1 species